UAAUCACCUUGAAGAUAUUUUCAGCAUGUCUAAAAGUAAUUAAAAAAAGUAUGUGCCUUAUGAUGUGAAGUUUAUUCACAGAUUUUGAUUUAGCAGCUUUGCCAAUAAUCCAAGGAUCAGAGCAUCAGUAGAAAGCUGAAGAAGAAAACACUUUGUGAAGAAACACAUCCUACUCCAUCAGAAAUGUGUGCUUCUUCCAGCUCUGUGAUUUUGCAAGAGGAAAAUACAUUGGGACAGAUGAACUGGCAGAGCUUGGGAAGGUGGUCAAUAUCUGGUUUCCUCAGAAAUUCUCCUGUCUUGUUUGGUUUUGUUCCUUUAUCUGUGCUAAGACAUGUGAGCAAAAUGAAGCAAGGAAGAUUUUUUCCUAGGCGUUUUCAGGGGAGGGUAUGCUGUAGAUUAUGAUAAAUUUUUCUUUCCGGAAAGAUCAAUAAAAA